rnacentral:lncRNA from 1 species
GGAGGCCUGCUCAACUCUGGCGCAGGAGGUCCUUUAAACUCUUCGGGUUUUUGGACCUCCUUCACCUGCAGAGGGCCAAAAUGCGAAGUCGAUUCCAUUAUGCAUGUUCAUGUUACCGUCACCAUCAUCUGAAAAAUGUAUGGAAGGAUUCGCGGAUGAUGUACGGUUGACUUGCCCCUUGUGGUCAAAUGAAUAUGAAGGUAUGCCGUGAUUGAAUAGCAACACAUUACGCACCUGCAGCCUAAGAUAAGCAAAAAUUGGAGUCUCCAAUAGGUUUAUUAAUU